AUUGAACGCUGGCGGCAGGCCUAACACAUGCAAGUCGAACGAGUGGCGGACGGGUGAGUAAUGUCUGGGAAACUGCCCGAUGGAGGGGGAUAACUACUGGAAACGGUAGCUAAUACCGCAUACCAUCGGAUGUGCCCAGAUGGGAUUAGCUAGUAGGUGGGGUAACGGCUCACCUAGGCGACGAUCCCUAGCUGGUCUGAGAGGAUGACCAGCCACACUGGAACUGAGACACGGUCCAGACUCCUACGGGAGGCAGCAGUGGGGAAUAUUGCACAAUGGGGGAAACCCUGAUGCAGCAACGCCGCGUGCGGGAUGACGGCCUUCGGGUUGUAAACCGCUUUCAGCCAUGACGCGGUAGUGGCAGAAGAAGCACCGGCUAACUACGUGCCAGCAGCCGCGGUAAUUC
rnacentral:rRNA from 1 species